UACACUUUAUAUAUGCAUGUUGGGUUUCAUUUGUGUAAGCUUUUCUUACUUUGAACCAUUCAGAUUCGUUGCUUACCAUGGGCCAGUUUCCUGUGAUGCUCUUUACUGCAGAUUUUUCUUCUUUUCAUGGGGUAUUGCUAGUUGUGCAUAGAGUUAUGAGCUGCUUGGCUGUGUAUUUUUGAGUAGCUUUAAAAUUUUAUAUAGUUCUUGAGCAAAAGGAUAUCAACGCAGUUUCGAAACACUAUCUUAUAGGUUUUUUCUUUUUCCAUAGAAAUGCCACUUCUGAUAUUUUUAAUACAUAUGCAGAGUAAUAAAUUGUAAUUUAUAGUUUGGGAUCACCAGACAGGAAAGUAAUCACUGUCAGUGAAAAUGGUCUGAAAAUUCUACAAGUCCAGGUGUUGCUUGAUUUUUUUUUUUUUUUUUUCCCUCUGUUUUCAUAUCUGUGAUGGACAGCAGUCAAGCUUCAUGAGCUUAAAAAAACACAUAAUUACCAUAGAUGUUAGGUUUUGAUGAGCUGUAAUUACAUCUCACACACUGAAAAACAAAGACAAACCAACUGGUAAGCAACAAACCUGGCAUUAAAGGCUGUAGGAAUUCCUGUUCCGUAUUCAUUCAAGUUUCAUUUAAUAGAGAUAAUUGGUCACGUAAGCGAUCAGGUUACGAUCUCAGGUCUGUAUGCAGGAAAUAUCAUACCACGAGUUUUUAGUUCUAAACAGAUUUUCUUCUGGCACACACAAAUGUGAGAGAGAUUGCAUGCCUGACAGUGGCAAAACGUGAAUGCAAUCCAAAUGAGCAGGGAAAAAGCAAAAGCCUUCAGUCCCAUCUGCACUGCAGAAGACUGUCUUUGGGUCCGUUGUCAGGUAUAGGAACUGGGGGUGGCUUCUCAUCAACUCUCCAGAAGCAACAUUGGAGACAGGUGUUGUUUGCAGAGUGGAGCUGAGGAGCUAGUUCAGUAUUUGUCAGUGUGUUUUAGGUACUCACGAUGUGCGUUCUGUGAAUCGGUUCUGUGAAUGUAAGUUUCUGGAGCAAACCUCAUUUUUUUUUUCUCCCUGUUCACAUGUCAUCUUCUCCCCUUCCCCCAGCUCCCAAGCUAACCUUGAAUGAAUAGAGAACAACAAAACUACGUUGCUUCUCCUUUUGGGAGAGAUUGGUAAAUAGGAGGCCAAAGAUUUGAGAGGGAGGGCAUCCCUCGUGGCGGAAAUAAAUUGUAUAGUGAGUUUUUUGUUUGCUUAGAUAGCAUUCAAUCCUUACCUUGGCUGUGACAAUCAUUGGCAACUGAAGAUCAAGUUGCAACUAUAUUUAUGCUAAAUGUUAAGAAAAGAGACUUAGUUGAGUUGUUUUCCUAAACAACUGGUUGUAAUAGUCUUAGGUGUAUUUCUUUUUUUUAACGGUGUUUCUUUUAUGUGUAAAUGUUGCCAACAUUUGUGAGUAACAUGAGCAGAUGCUGGAAAUUCCAGUACCGUGCAGAGAUAUUGUAGCUCCCCUUAUAUUCUUGCGAAGAGCCUUUGCCAUCUUGCGAGAGACUUCGAGGACUUCAGCUAUGUUCAGGUAAACUUGUGGACUGGCCUGGUAAUUAUAAUGUUUUUUAAACGGAAAAUGUGGUGUACACUGACUUGAAAUGUCUCUUGAUGAGAUAAAAACAAGGGUGUGAUUUUUCUGAGGUGCUGCACUGCAGAUUUCUGGGAAGUGGUCAAGGUUUUAAUGCGUGAUCUAACAAGAACUCUUUGAAGACAGCAGUGUUCCCGCUAAGCAGUGUUUCCUAUCACAAGAUUAGGAGCUGAAUAUAGACUAUAGAAAUAUUAAGAAGACAGGUCUCUUUGACACCCUUAGCUGCAACGUCCUGAAAUACUGUUGGUGUGUUACAGUGUAGGAAUUUUCUGCUGGCUUACGUCCAAGAUCUGGGAGUAUGUUAUGCUAAAGCAGCAAAGAUGUACUGCAUCGUAUGUACCUAAAAUGUUAGAAAUUGCUGAUAUUGAAUAUUUGUGUUGGAGAAUGCCAAUGAGUUAAGCCACCAGAAAUGAUGGUUUUACUAUGAUGCAUCUCCCUCUAAACAAUGACUUCUUUGUCUUUCUCAACAUUCUUAAAUUAUUUUGUCGGUUUUGCCAAUAGUAGCCUAAGAACUGUAGGAGUGUUCAGCCUCAGAUACGUGGGUUGAAGAGUUUUAGCACAACGACAGCUCUACACUGCCAGUCCUUGGUUGAGCAACAUGGCAUCUGGGGUUUUCAUCUCUAUACAUCUCUCCACUCAAAGUAACUGCCUUGAGAAAUGUUCCAGGAAGUGGGUAGCUAGGCAGUCGUAAUCCAUUGUAUUGUACUCACGGCUGGACUAGAUGGUUGUAGUUGUCUUUUCCAGUCGUAAUGAUUCUGUGAUUCUGUAGUUGCUAUUUCUGGGUUUUGAUGAUCUAGGCUGGACCUUCACUCAUUGACAAAAGAAGAACGUUUGACAUCUGCCAGGCCAGUUAAGAUACGGUAGCGUCAUUGAUUUCAACAGAUUUAAUAUAGCUGAAAAGUAUUAACCCAAUUCAAGAGGUUUCUUGAAUGGCAGUUGUGUAGAUACGUGGCAUGCAUAUUAACAGAAUCCAGAGAGCUAAUGGAAUUGUUUCAUGUGUACAUACGUUUCCUCCCUUUAAAACUAUCCUAGUUAACUUUUGUAAGCUGGCAUGGAGUUGUGUUUAUGACAUUUGGUUGCACCAUGUUUGAUGCUUUUACAGUGCAAUACUUGUAUUCUCUGAAUAAAACCAAAGGUAAUUUGUUUUUUCAUGUUCUCUACUGUAGUGCAUGAUGGCCUUUUCUACGUUUUUAAUAAAUGUAAAACAAGCCAGAUCAUACAUCCUGUUUUCACCUAAAGUAUGUUUUAAGUCUUUUGUUCAAAAUGUAGUGUAAAGUUAAACUAAAUUGCAUUAUAUUAACCUUUUCAAGUGUAUUUUCCUAAGCAUAGUUCUGAUUAAAUAAAC
ensembl:lncRNA